rnacentral:rRNA from 1 species
UACGUAGGGUCCGAGCGUUGUCCGGAGUUACUGGGCGUAAAGCGCGCGCAGGCGGCGGUGCUGGCCCGGCGUGAAAGCCCCCGGCUCAACCGGGGAGGGUCGUCGGGGACCGCACCGCUUGAGGGCGGUAGGGGCUGGUGGAAUGCCUGGUGUAGUGGUGAAAUGCGUAGAGAUCAGGCGGAACACCCGUGGCGAAGGCGGCCAGCUGGGCCGUCCCUGACGCUGAGGCGCGAAGGCGUGGGGAGCGAACGGGG